GACGAACCGAGCGAACGUUGUUCGGAAUCACUGGGCUUAAAGGGCGCGUAGGCGGGUGCUCAAGUCCGGGGUGAAAUCCUCCAGCUCAACUGGAGAACUGCCUCGGAUACUGGGUGCCUCGAGUGUGGUAGGGGUGUGCGGAACUAUCGGUGGAGCGGUGAAAUGCGUUGAUAUCGAUAGGAACUCCGGUGGCGAAGGCGGCACACUGGACCACAACUGACGCUGAGGCGCGAAAGCCAGGGGGAGCAAACGGG
rnacentral:rRNA from 1 species